CUGAGUGAAAUGGGAACUGAAUCUCGUGUUCUGACCCAAUUCCAGGUCUUCUUCCCUUCUCUUAGUAUGUUCAACGUGAGGUCAAAUUUUAAAAGUAAGCCAAUCGAAAGAAUAACACUUGAAGACUGGACAAAAUUCACAAAAAUGGUACUUCCUAGGAUCGAGACAUGGUUCUACUGGCAGCAUCACAGGACAGCAAGGAGACAG